UACGUAGGGAGCAAGCGUUGUCCGGAAUCAUUGGGCGUAAAGCGCGCGUAGGUGGCCACAUACGUCCGUUGUGAAAGUCAAAGGCUCAACCUUUGAAAGCCGAUGGAUACUGUGUGGCUAGAGUACGGAAGAGGCGAGUGGAAUUCCUGGUGUAGCGGUGGAAUGCGCAGAUAUCAGGAGGAACACCAAGAGCGAAGGCAGCUCGCUGGGACGUUACUGACACUGAGGCGCGAAAGCGUGGGGAGCGAACAGG
rnacentral:rRNA from 1 species